GGCUACACAAAGAAACCCUGUCUUGAACCCCCCUCCCCAAAAGAAAGUUAUGUGUGUGUGUGUUUGCAUGAAUGCAACAUGUGUACAGAUGCCCAAGGAGGGCAGAGAAGGGGUUAGAGCCACUGGAGCUGGCCUUACAGGGUUGUGAGCCACUUGAAUAGGAGCUAGGAACUGAACUCAGGUCCCCUGAAAGAGCAGGGAGUGCCCUUAAGCACCAAGCCAUCUUCCCAACACUCAGCAAUGUGAUUGUUGUCUUUAUUUUAAUUAAUUAAUUAAUUAAGUAAGUAAGUUAUUGGGUGAGCACUACAAUGUACAGAGGUGGUCAGAGAACGACUUGUGGAGACAACUGUCUUCUUUCCGUAGUGUGGGGCCUUCCAAGGGAUCGAAUCCAGGUCGUCAGGUUGGCCCCAAGUGCCUUUACCAGCUGAGCCAUUUAGCUAGCCCCAGAAUGCUAGUUCUUGAUCAGUUAUUGAGUGUGGAAGGAUGCUUUAACAGACUGAGCUGUAUUUCUUCCGUAUUCUCUUACUGAUGGGUGGGGGUCAGUGCGGAUUCUUACUAAGCUUUUGGGUAACGGAAUAGAGAAGUGUCCUCGAGGUUCUCCAGACAGCCGGAAGCAGAGCCGGGUUGAGAACCUGACUCUCCUGGCUCUUCCUCCAGCACCACCAUGCUUUCUCUACCACCUUCCAGUCAAGGACUUGCAAAGGAGAAGCAGUCAUCCCCGUGGUGCCCCAGAACUGCUCUUACUGCGCAACAGGACUUCACGAACAUUUAUUGAAUUUAUGUAUUUUAAACCACGUUUAAAACAAAAGCCAACGCCUCAGGCUCCACCUCUGGAAAAUCCAAUUUAAUUUUAAAGGCCACUUGGAUGAAUCCAACCAGUGGUUCUCAAAUGGAAUCUUGGUGAGGGCUGGUGAGACCCAGAAGGCGGCCCACCCUGUGGGUUUUUGAAUCAGCCAAUCUAGUGUAUGGUCAAAAAUAUUUCCCUCUCUCAGUGUCUCUGUCUGUCUGUCUCUCUUUUCACAUGUAUGUAUGUAUGUAUGUAUGUAUGUACGUACAUAUGUGUGUAUGUAUGUGUAUAUGAGUGUGUGUGUGUGUGUGCAGGUUCAUGUGUGUGAGGACAAAGGACAGGCACCAUCCCUCUGGUGCCGUCUUCCUUGCUUUUUGAGAGGAGUCUCAUUGGCCUAGAACUCACCAGGGCUAGACUGGCUACCAGUGAGCCCAAAGAUCCACGAGUCUCCACCUCCCUGCCCUGGAAUUACUGGCACAUUAGAAUUACCACCCCUUAAAAACUUGUAGGUGACACUGGUACUCUGGGAAUCUCUAUAUCAAAAGUAACUGGGAUAAAUGCUACGAGCCUACAGCCAUACAGCCAAGUCUAUGGGUUUGGGACUAAGUCUAUCCACAGUGCCUCAUCCAGAUUAGGUCCUUAGCGUGAGUGUAUUGGCACUCAGCAGCCAGUUAAUAAAAGCUCACAAAUGAAACCUAUUGCCUUGCCGGCCAUUGCAGAAGCUGCAGAGCAGAGGGAAAGGUCCCCGAUGUCCUCUCAUUAAGGGAGUUGCUGAUGGGAUGACAGAUUGCUCUUUUUUUAUCUUACUUGGCAGUGUCUUUGAUCCCAGAAGGCUGUAGAGCACAAAGGACCCUCAAACUCUGAAGAGAUGUGGAGUAGAUGUGUUGAGCAUGGCUCGAGGGCAGAUGAGGGUGUGGAAGCUGUGUGAGGAAGGGACAAUUGCUCAGCAAAGGCUUCUGGGAGGACGACUAUUAGUAGAGUACUACUAGUAGAGUUUGGGAGGUAACUCUGUGAUGGAGAAGAGGAACUGUGUGCUUCCAUGGAGAAACAGCACCAGAAAAAGACAGUAAUGAAGGGUACGGGAAAGCCUCCUGAUAGCAAGAAGGAAGGUCCCUGUGUGAAAAGGGGGCACACAAGGUCACCGAAACAAGGCCUCUUCCAGCAGAACGAUGCACCUUACCUAACUGGAUUUACUAAGUCCUGAUAAACACAUGACUCCUACUUAACCCUUCUCUGGGAGCAGCUGUUAACAUCUUCAGCCUAUCCCAGAAUCCUCCAGUGCAGAGUCGCCAGAGUCACUAAUACACAUUAAAGUAACGGGGUAAAUGAGCUUAUGCCAAGCCAAAAUGCAGGCUGCACCCCAACUGAUCAGGUGGAAGAGGUCUCUGGCCUUCCACACUCUCCUGGCUUUUUGUGUCUCAGAGUUACAAAUGUCAGUUUCUAAACACAAGGUAGAGGCCGCAGGAGUAGCUCAGUAAGUAAACCACUCACUGUGCAUGGCCGAGGACCUGAGUCUGCAGAACCUACACAGAAGCCUAGUGAGACAGCUUGCACACCUGUGAUCCCAGCUCUCCGUGGGGAGAAAAGAGAUCAAGAGAGAAGAGACCCCCCAAAGCACAAGGACCACAGCAUAUGCAGCAGUGAACAACAAAGAUCGUCUGUAUGAAACAAGAUAGAGGUGUCCUAGAGUUUCCAUUGCUGUGAACAGUCGCCAUGACCAAGGCAACUCUUAAUAAGGACAACGUUUAAUUG